rnacentral:lncRNA from 1 species
GCUGUGAUUGGGACACUGUACUCCUGCCUGGGUGACAGAGUGAGACCCUCUCUCAAAAAUAAAUAAAUAAAUACAUCCCCGCUCAGCCACUUAUCAGUUACGUAGAUACACUGCCUAACCUUAGUGAACCCUGUUUCGACAACUCCAAAAUGGGAGUAAAAAUCCUAAACUUGUACAGUGGUUUUUUAGUUUUGUUAAAAGUACAGGUGAGGUUUUUUUCAGAGUAUUGGUUGCCAUCUGAGAGUGAUCCCCUUUCACCUCCUCUAGGACUUUUAGCAUUUUCUGGAGACAUUUUGGUGGUCACAGCUGGGGUGGUAGAGUGUGCUAUUGGCUAGGGGCUUGAAGCCAGUGAUGCUGCUUAACAUCCUAUAUGGCACAAGACCCCUCCCCAUCAACAAAGAAUUAUCUAGCCCAAAAUGCUGUGUAAAAUGUCUGGUAUAUAAUAAGUAUAAUAUUUGAUGAAAAUCAGUACCUUUGCCCCCAGGUGUGAUAUUUAAGAAGGUCAACUUACUAAAUCAGUGAUGGAGUUAGUCCUAACAUCUGGGUGUUCUGACUGCUGCUAGGCCAGUAUUCUUUAUAUGAUAAUAAGAACUUUGUCCACAGAAGAUAUCCCUAAUAACAAAAAAGGUUUAUUUGAAGAGGACUCAUGUGUUCUUUGGCUGAUUGUGAAAGUGUUGCUUUGAACUUCUGUUAGAAAAGGUUGAAGAUGUUUUCCGUAAGUGUUUUUAAUACUGUACGUAGUAUUCAGAAGGAUGUUUAAUUUUUUUUUUAAUUUUGCUAGUAGUUUUUAAAGUAAUCCUUUUUCCUUUAAUUAUGUAGUUGUUGAACUGUUGGGAGUUACUUUUCUCUUACUAUUUUGUUAUUUAAUGUAUUCUUUGACCUUAUGCUUUUUUAUUCUAAAGCUGCUUUUAUUAUAGUCAGAUAUGAUGAAGUUAAAUGUACAAUGUAAAAUUGCAAAUUUCCAACGAGCUAUACAAACUUAAAUAUUUCUAAGUAAAGAAAAUAGGGCUGACUCUAAGGUUCUUUGAUCCAUGUGUUGCAUUCUUUUCUAGGCCCUAAAUUUGCUAUGCCAGCCUGUUGAAUUAAAGUGCUUUAUUUAUCUAAAUUAGAAACUUGUAUUAAAGUGAAGUUUUAGAAAAAAAGAAACAAAAUCGGAAUGGAGUUUUAGGUUAGCCCAGAGAUGGGAAGAUGCCAAGAAGGUAGCUUUAGUGGAUUCUGAAUUUUUUGGUUUUGUUUUGUUUUUAGGGCAGGCAAAUGUAAUUACAAAAGGGUUCUAGGAAUAGAUUGCUGUGAUUUUUUUUCUGUUUGCAUGAUUUUACAGUUUGCUUUGCCUCUCACUUUUGAAUGCAGAAUAAAAUGUCAAGGCCUUAUUUUUUUUUAAAUUCUUAAGAAAUUUAAGAUUUGACUGUUAAUUCCUUUUGAAAUAUGGGAUAUUUUGAGAUACCAAUUAUUUAAGACAAAUAGGACUCAUUGUUACAAUUCAGUUGAAUAAGGCUUAUGAUGUUUAUUUCAGUAUAUGAAUGAAAACUAUGUGCUUAUUGUACUUAAGAAAAUUUCUUUUAUUAAAAACAUGACUAAAGAGAAUUUUAAAAAUCACCCACUGUCCUACUUCUCUAAAACUUAAUGUUUUCAUAUUAGCUUCCAGUUUUGUUCAUAUGCAUAUACUUUAAAACCUAGUUCAUGGUGAACUUAAGAGGGUGUUCUUUUUAAAAAACAAUUUCCAUUGCACUUUGUCGUUGCCUUAAUUAAAUGGUGAAAUCAUCAGAAAUAUUUAUUUUCCUAUACUUAUACAUUUAUUAAGCUUGUUUCCAUUUUUUUAUUUUGUGAUUUUUUAAGUGGAUUUAAGAUAACCUAAACAUUAGAGAGGAUUUUCAUGGUUUUGAUUCAUGAAAUCAUAAUGUUAUACAAACCUAACUGAAGUGUUAGAGCCUUGAAGAUUUUUCCCCCGAAUUACAUAUAGUAACUCUACUUGUAUUUAAUACUGAAAGCAUAUUUUACUUAUUUAAGUGAGACAAAGUAAAAUUUAGCUGAAUACUUUAGAUCUAUCAUUUCCUUUUCCUGUUGUAAGAACAUUACAUUGUGUUGAAAUUAAAGUGGAUAUAGAAGGUAAUUAGAAUAAACUGCCACAUCAUUUUUAUAGUAAAGUGGUAAUAACACUAUUGCUUUCUGUUUUUUUAAUCAGAAGGAGUAUGGGCUUAUAAUGAUGUUACUGUUCCCUGAAGCAUAUUUUGAAUGAUACGGUUUAUAUUUGCACAGUUGCCCAGUAGAGACGGGGUUUCACCGUGUUAGCCAGGAUGGUCUCGAUCUCCUGACCUCGUGAUCUGCCUGCCUCGGCCUCCCAAAGUGCUGGGAUUACAGGUAAAUUUUGAUUGUUAUUAGCAACUAUAAAAGUUUUGCAGUUGGCUUAUUGGAAAAAGAAAACCUCCUUGCCGGAGACGGAGACGCAUUUGUAUUAGAACUUUGUUUUCUGAGUACCUUACCUAUAGUAGGUUUCAAAUAUUGGUGAAUUAGUUGAUGGUUAGGUCUGCAUAAUUACUGCGUAUGGAAAUUCUGGAACCCUAUUUUUUCAAAAUGCAGCUAAUGUUGAGAGAAUAUGCACUAAAUAUUACUAGAUCUUUGUUUUUCAAGAUGCUGAUAUCCCUUAACAUCUUCUGCACUUUACCUGUUUGAAUAUCUUUUUUGCUGUAAAAAUUAGUGGCCUUAUGUCUUUCUGCAUAAUUAUAGAGUAGCCAAAACCUGUUUUAGGUUAAUCACCUCUGGCAAAAUAAAUGAUAAAAGCAUAGCUUUUGUAAGCAGAAUGAUAUUACAGAAGUUAACUUAUAAAUCUAAGUGUAUUAAAGACACUUAGGAAAUUUAUGAUAAUGCUGGGUCAGCAUUACAGUUUUAACUUUUUACAGUUUUUCAUAUGCUUUUUUUGUGAUUUUGCUGUAGAAAAUUAACAGUUGGCAUUUGGCUUAGUUCAAGUAUAAUGCUGUUGACAAGUAUAUCUGACACGUCAUUGAACUAAUAAUAUUUUUGAAAGCUGAUAGGUAAGUUAUAUCUAUUUUGUUUCAUUCGUCAUUAGUGAUCGGUCUUAGAUGUUUUUAGCGAGAGCAAAACUGUAGAGGAAUGUGUGUCUGUGUGUGUAUAUGUGUGUGUGUGUGUGUGUAUUUUAACAGCAGGAGAGUUCUGAAACAGGAAACCAGUCUUAUCAUAUUCAUCCAGAGAC